AGACGGGGGCCCGCACAAGCGGUGGAGUAUGUGGUUUAAUUCGACGCAACGCGCAGAACCUUACCUAGACUUGACAUCCCGGGGAUUUCUGGAAACAGAGAAGUGCUUUAGCAAUAAAGAACCCGGUGACAGGUGCUGCAUGGCUGUCGUCAGCUCGUGUCGUGAGAUGUUGGGUUAAGUCCCGCAACGAGCGCAACCCUCGCCUUUAGUUGCCAGCAUUCAGUUGGGCACUCUAGAGGGACUGCCGGUGUCAAACCGGAGGAAGGUGGGAUGACGUCAAGUCCUCAUGGCCUUUAUGUCUAGGGCUACAUACGUACUACAAUGGCCGGUACAAAGGGCAGCCACUCAGCGAUGAGGCGCUAAUCCCGUAAAGCCGGUCUCAGUCCGGAUCGCAGUCUGCAACUCGACUGCGUGAAGUUGGAAUCGCUAGUAAUCGUAGAUCAGCAUGCUACGGUGAAUACGUUCCCGGGCCUU
rnacentral:rRNA from 1 species